UCAUCUCUCCACCUUCCACCCCCUACUUCCUUCCUGCUCACCUUGCAAAUGUUGUUGGCUUGUUCUGGAUUCAGCAGCUGUCUUUUGUCUGACCUCUGGUUCUUGGGGCUUGAGCUAGCAGCUUACUUGUCUAUCUUGGGAUUCGCUGAUCUUCACAGCCUGCAAGCAAGAGUCCUGCUCCCCAACCUGCCUGUCUUGGGUUCACCAGCCCCUGCAGGUGGGUUGAGACCAAUUGAUGCAUCUUAGAUGGCUGCUUGCUUGCGUUUAAGACCCCAGACGCCUCUCUCCAAGGAAUACAGUAGAUCACCAGGUUCUUCUUUCUAGUCUGUCUUUGUCUGGAAGCUCCACUGAAAUCUGUCCAUUAAAGAUGGCCCCGCUGGUAUUUGAAAUACUAGUGGCAUAGCUUCCAGCUAUGUGGGUAUCACAGCAAUACCCACACCACCACAGUACAACAAACUGACAGACAAAUGGAGGUGAAAGGCCUUAAGAGUAGAAUACUGUGGGAGAAGAAAUUCUGCCUCAAGACUGCAGCAUCAGCUCCUGCCCAAGAGUUCCCGGCCUGCUUGAUUAGCCUACAAAUUUUGGAUUUGUCAGACCCCACAGAUCAUAUAUAACAAGAGAGAAGCGAGCAGAGAGGAGAGGGACCUCUACCAUCAAGAAAGAAGAGACCGGAGAGGAGCGCAUUCCUUGGACCCAGGGUCCGAACACUGAGAAAAUUCUAGACCCAGGGGAAGAUUGAAGACAAAGACCGUCCCCCAGAGCUGACACAGAGAGAAAGCCUUCCCCUGGAGCUGGCGUCCUGAAUUAGGACUUCUAGCCUCCCAGACAGUGAGAGAAUAAAUUUGUUUGUUAAAGCCAUCCACAUGCAGAGUUUCUGUUAUAGGACCAAUAGAUGAUUAAGACAGAGGCAUAUCACUCACUUCAAUCCUCUACUCAGGAUUUUCCAAAACUAAAAAUCUCCAUGGUAAAUUUAUAAGGGUAUCCUGAACGACAGAAAAAUAAGCUAUAAGAAACUAUCAUGACAAGUGCUCUGUUGUACUGUUCAAAGUUUUUUUUUGUUUUCUGUUUUGAGGCUGGGCAUUUAAGACACAUCAGCUUUAAAAAAGAAAAAAAAUCACACAAAUGUGUAUUUUACAUAUUUGAUUUCAAACACAUAUACUCAGUGUUGACCAUGACUUUCAGAGAGGUAUUAUUUCUUCCUUUAAUUGGAAAAUGCGUGUGCAAAAGCUCAACCGUCCACUCAUGCCUGCAGCAGAGCUCGCGUCAGUUCUAGUGAGACUCGCCAGAGGAAGUCCGAUUCUUAGCAACAUUUCAGGGAAGAUCUAUUAGCUUAAUGGGCCUGCAAAAUUUCACAAGAAAAUGGUCUCUGAAGCAGUUAAGGCUUUGGAAAGAAUCUCACAUGGAACCAGUUAUUCUGAUUUACUCAUAUAUUUUAAGAGGCACUGUCUUGCCUCAAUUGUUUAAAUUAAAAAUGGGGUUAUAUUUAGAAAGAAAUUUAGUUCAGUUGCAAGCUGUAGUUUUAGGUUAGUUUAUAUAUUCUUCUCAUAUUUCUUCUGGUUACUAUUUAAAAUUCAGGAAGAGAUACAGCUUCUAAAAAUUGGACAUAGAUAUUGACAAGAAGGAUAUAAAGGAGGAGCUGUAACAGGAGUUAAUCCCCAGGCUCAAUAUAUCCCUAGGUUUCCCUUCAACUAUAAAAACAACCAAACCAGCCUCCAGUUUAAAAUGUUUUUACUGCUUAUAAUACAGUACACUCAUUGACUCAUUCCAAACCAAAAAUAGUGCCAGGAACAUAAGUACCUCUCCAAUAAAUCUGUGUCUUCCUCUAGCCAAGUUUCUAAAAUUAGUCUUCUUUUCCCCAACCAAUAUUUAGCUGUACCUACUUUAUCUAAUAAAGUAAACCUCAUGAUUCUCGAAAUAACUUAUAGGAAGGCAGGCUUGAAUUACACACCAUUUAUAUAUUCGCUUAUUCAUGCACACAUUCAUUUGCUCUUAUAACUAUUAUCUACUAUGUGCAAAGCAUUGUACUAAGUAAGUGCUAGGAUGUAAUGAUGAGCACACAGAAACACACUUAAUACUUUUUAGAAAGUUCCAACUAGAAAUAUAUUUUAGUAAACAGGUAAGAAUGAAGAAUAACUUAAAAUUAGCAUACUUUUAUUGUAUGGAAAUGGAUGCUACCAGGAUUCUUAAAAAACACUGCUCUCUAAAGCAAAUUAAACAUGUCCAUUCUCCCCCAUCCAAAUUAUUAAAUUUGUACGAUUAAUUUAAUACAUAUAAUAGCAUAGCUACACGAGGCCACUCAUCCCGAAUGUCUCAGUCUGCCUAAAAGGAAAGGAUGUUCCAAAAAGCUUACAUAUUUGGCCCUCAAGUCACUCAACAAGUUAAAAGUAUGACAAAACUAAAACUCAGAUAUCCUGCCCCUUAGCCCAGUGUUUCUUUUCUAUUACAGAGCAGAUUCUCUCUAAAAGACAAAUCACAAAUUCUGAACAAACUGGUCCAAAAUCAGUUGCCAACUUUGUAUGCAUCACCCCAGACACUGAAUUUUAAAUAAUUCGCCCGUUGUUUAAGUUUCAGCAAAGAGCUUGAUCAAGCAGUGAUUUACUUAAUGUGAGCAUUUGUUUUAACAUUUAACAAAAGAAGGGCAAAGAUUCAGAAAAGGCCGAGUGCCAACGCCAGAAUGGGUAUGAGCUUCCAGGGGCUACGGACUUCAGAUCAGUCCCUUGUGCUGUAUGACAUCAUGGACUAUCAGUGGUACACUGGCGAAGAAUAUUUCCAUCCUUUUAGGAAAGAACGCAGACAUUUUCUCCUUUCUCACAUUAAUCUAAGACUAAAGGCUGUUGACACUGCCUAUCGAAUUAUUCUUGGAAGUCAGUUUCUGAAAUUCAGCAUUCAAUGUCUGCAUUUCUCAUUUAAAAAAAGAAAAAAAAGCCUAACGCUGUAUAGAGCUCUCCUCCAAAAUUAUUUAGCUUCCUUCUAUCUUCCUUCUCGUCUUUUACGAGUAAAUUAGCCAGGUAGAGAGGUCUGCUUCAAUUAAAAAUCCAAGUUUCAAGGCUUUUUGACAAAGUAGCUCCUUCAUUCACGUAAAGGGGAAAAAAAUACAGAAACACUUUCCCCAGAGGAGACGAGAAAGUUCAUUUUAAAAUCUGUAGUUACACAGGCCAACAACAGUUCUUUAAUUUAACGUUUCAUUAGUCUCUAAAUUAUAAACAACUCUAGGGCAGACAGUUGCUUGCAUUUAUCUAUGUUUAUAUGAUUAAAUCAGGAAGUGCUCACAUCAAAACACCGUUCUCAGGAGCAUCAAAUGCCAGAAACAUGUUAUUAGAAACACUAGAGUUUUUUUUUUUUUUUUUAGAGUUUAGUCUACCAGCUUGCACAACACUUCUGCCUUUUCUCCUCAUCCUAAGAAUGUGAGGAGGAUCUGCAACACUGGGCCCAGAGGGAAAGAGCAAUGAGCCAAGAUGGUCCCCAAGUACCCUACAACAACAGGAGAAAGGAAAAGGGAUGCAUGCACUGGGCCCAGAAGCAUGUCCUCUUCCCACUCAUCCUCUAGAAACAAUUCCCCCUGACAGAGAUUAUGUUGUUUGAUCAGCAUUUCAAUUAUGGGUUGCAGCGCCCACCAAGGGGGAAGGUAGGUCCAACGCAAACACGCUGUUCCCUGUAUUUUCAAUGUACAGAACAAAAAAAUUUCAUCUGAUGUUAUGUACCUCACCUGCUUUUUCAAAGGAUUCACUGAGUUAAGUCUGACAACCUCCUCAGCUCCACCUGCUCAUCACUGUCAAGUAAACUGUCUUUGGUUUCUCUUCCACCCUUCCUCUAAGCUUAGGCUAGCCUCUAAUUUUGUACUGAUUAAAAGCACAAUCCCAAUUAAAGACUUAUAUUUUACCUCUUUUAUAAAAGCCAGCCCCACUGAAAUGAGAAGUGGAAACCAAAAAAUAGAAGAAACAAAUUUUUAAAGUCAUAUUGGCCUGGCUUUGAAAGUAUCCCAGCUCUGCCACCAGUAACUGUCAAUAUUUGGACAAAUUAUUUGGAUUAUUCAUCUUUAGUUUCUUCAAAGCCUCUCUGAGGAUUAAGUGAAAUAAUUCACAGAAUAAUCUAAAAAGCAUAGUGCAUAAGUAUUCAAGUGUUAAUUAAUAAUAACUGCACAGACAUUAGCAGCAUCGAGAAUUAUCCUCUCCAUAUAUAGUAAAAAUUUAAAAAUAUAUUUAGAAACUUUCUUCAGACCAGCAACUAUAACACAAAGACAAGGAAAGUACCACUAGAGAGAAUUUAGCAUGCUAUGAACACUUUAUAACAGAAAUGUCUUCAAGGGUUUAAUCUAAACCAAAAGAAAAGCCCAUCUCUGAUUACAGUGUCUUUAUGAAUGUACCCAAACAAAAGUGAGAGUGUUAGAAUGUCUAUAUAUAAAAAGCAAAAUGACAAUGCUUAUUUUUAAGGUCCAAUCCACAGUUAUUAUGUCUUGCAGAGAGCACUGCAUGCCACCAAAAAAAAAA